ensembl:lncRNA
GCUAUUUCAAUCGUGAGCCAAUAGAAAACCAUCCUUUGCAUUUGGCGGCAGAGCUCAGGUUUAACCCUUAACCUUUUCGGGCUCUGGCUCGGGCUCGGAGAGAACAUCACUCCCCAGGUUCCUGACCAGCGGGGACGCUGAAAGAGCGACCUCAACAGUGGACGCCGAGGCCUACGGGAAACGUAGUCUUGACUCCUUCUGGCUCCCCGCGCGGCGCUCUGGGAAGGGGAUUCCGGGAUCCCUCUGCGCAUGUGCAGCCGUAGCCCCGCCUCCUCCCUCGUCUUCUCAGGACUCCGCGGGAGCCGUUAAGUACCUCAGUCUCCUCGGGAAGUGGAGGGCGCGCCCGGGAGGCUGCGCUGCUGUCAGACAUGUCCAUCACCACAUGUGACAUUAAUGACAUCAUCCUGACCUCGCAGGAUCCCAGAAUAAUGAUGCUUGAAGGAUUUUCCAAAGUCGUCUACUUUAAUUCUUGAAAACUUUAAAGACAUUGGACCUGAAAGUUUCAGUGACUUGUCCAGGGAAACCUGGUUUAUGACAGAGUUAGAAGGAAAACUGCAGUUCCCUCUCAGGUGUCACCAAAAGCAUCUUAUCAAAGGGGCCUUCUGAGGAAUACAUCCCAGCUGAAACGAACAAAAGUUCCUGCCUUCAAGCAUCCCAUCUCUUUUCUGUGAAUUGUCUGUACCAAGAGCUGAGCCACAGUUCUCUACACUCACCCAGGAGCCACAGAAAGUGAACAUCCUUCAGGUGAGGUGGCUGGGAGAAGACAAACAGGAUGGGGCUGAAUUUGUUGUUCCAACUUUGUCUCCAUGAAGAGACUUAGAGCUUCCUCUAAGGGGCUUGAAGUGCCCAGAUUCAGAGUGCUGGGGAACCCUUUUCUCCUACAGAAAUCCCAAACUCUCUAAAUCACCCAAUCGAGGACUACAGAAUCACUGUGUUUGGGAUUUUGGGGGGAACCUGCCAGUUACAGUGGAGUUUAGAAAUGGUAGUAGACCUGACUCCUAAGGAGUUGGCUCAUUGGAUAUAUAAGGAAGUACGAAAUAAGAAGAAGCAUGCUAAAUAUACGAUUCCUGGUUAUUGCUAUUUGUAAAGCAAUGAAUAAAUGGGUUGUGUAACCAGGAAAAUCCAACAUUAACACCUCAAAAAGAGGCUCAGCAAGAGCCAGUAUUGUCUCUUCGCUCAAUUAUAUGAGAUGCCUGAAAGGGUGAAGCCAUGUAUUGUUGACACCACUCCUGCUUUUGGAACUUGACAAUAUCGAAUGGAAGCUGGCAAACCUGAGUGGGCUCACCCUGGGGGACAUUUUCCUAUGAUACGAUGGUGGCCUGAAUAGUUAUUAAUGACUGAAUGAGAUUCUAGUAAUGUGCCUGUAUAUUUUGACUUUUGUGAUUAUUUUGCUGUAAGGGAUCUGUGUUCCAAGACCAGGGGGUAGACUGCAUUGUUGUGACUAAUAAGAAAUACAUAUUUGGUCAUUCAGGUGACCAAAAUAUAUUUCUGAUAAAUAUGUGGUCUCAGUCCACAGUUCCUGGCUCACAGCUCCCCAAAUCGGUGGAAUUUCUUAUUUAUGUUAAUGAAGGUG